rnacentral:lncRNA from 1 species
GGUUCUGAUGCUAGCCUUGAGGAGAGUGGACCUACUCUCUACUGGUUCUGAUGCAAGCCUUGAGGAGAGUGGACCUACUCUCUACUGGUUCUGAUGCUAGCCUUGAGGAGAGUGGUCCUACUCUCUACUGGUUCUGAUGCUAGCCUUGAGGAGAGUGGACCUACUCUCUACUGGUUCUUAUGCUAGCCUUGAGGAGAGCGGUGCUCCUCUCUACUGGUUCUGAUGCUAGCCUUGAGGAGAGUGGACCUACUCUCUACUGGUUCUGAUGUUAGCCUUGAGGAGAGAGGUCCUACUCUCUACUGGUUCUGAUGCUAGCCUUGAGGAGUGUGGACCUACUCUCUACUGGUUCUGAUGUUAGCCUUGAGGAGAGAGGUCCUACUCUCUACUGGUUCUGAUGUUAGUCUUGAGGAGAGUGGACCUACUCUCUACUGGUUCUGAUGUUAGCCUUGAGGAGAGUGGUCCUACUCUCUACUGGUUCUGAUGCUAGCCUUGAGGAGAGUGGACCUACUCUCCUCGUUAUUUAACCUUUAUUUAACUAGGCAAGUCAGUUAAGAACAAAUUCUUAUUUACAGUGACUGCCUACCCCCCCUAACCCGGAUGACGCUGGGCCAAUUGUGUGCCACCCUAUGGGACUCCCGAUCACAGCCGGGUUGGGAUACAGCCACAAAUCGAACCAGGGUCUGUAGUGCCUUAGACCGCUGCACAACUCAGGAGCCCAUAAAGCUCUGGAAUAAGAGGUUAUCCAUUACCAACUCUGGAAUAAGAGGUUAUCCAUUACCAACUCUGGAAUAAGAGGUUAUCCAGUACCAACUCUGGAAUAAGAGGUUAUCCAGUACCAACUCUGGAAUAAGAGGUUAUCCAGUACCAACUCUGGAAUAAGAGGUUAUCCAGUACCAACUCUGGAAUAAGAGGUUAUCCAGUACCAACUCUGGAAUAAGAGGUUAUCCAGUACCAACUCUGGAAUAAGAGGUUAUCCAGUACCAACUCUGGAAUAAGCGGUGGUACUUCCUGGAAUUACUUUCUAUCUGUGACUGUAGAUGUAACUAUUGUCAAUGUGCACUCUUUCUCUCUGGGACGAAAGGCUGGCCACACGACCAGAGCGACAGCAGAGUGUACAUGCAGUGACUGUAUUGGCCAGGCGAGGGCAGUAUUGCUUCAGCGGUGAAGCAUAUUAUAAUACUGUAGUCAGCAGAAUGGAGAAUAACAGUCAUAGAAAGAGGUCAUAUGUUACUCUGAAUCUAAAUGUGUUAAAAUACUGCUUCAAAUUCAACAUGUAUAUAUUGUUAGCUGUGUCUUCGUAAAUAUAUCCCCUCUUGUAGGCCUAAAGGUUAAUUAGAUGCUUGUGAGACGUAAUUAAUCAUUUCUUGCCAUUUAAUGGACUGAACUGUACAAAGGACUAUGGCUACUCUGAUUGACGGUAUAAACAAUUAGCUAGAAAUGGCACAAAAGUGAAUCCAAAUUAGGUCCGUGUAGUCUGAGUGUUGUUAUAAAUGGUGCUCAGCCAUCAACAAAUACGUUCAUUCAUUUUACUAGCUAGCUGUCAGACUUGCUUUGUAGUCAUGAUGAAUUUCGCCACCUUGAAAACUCAAUUUUGAGCAGGGCCUUUCCUCGUCACUCUCUUGUACAGAUGACAUUCCAGAGGAUUCUAUGUGUGAUAAAGUGUUCCGGCGUGUUCUGAAUAUCUCCCCCUUCUCACUUCUCUCUCUCUUCCUGUAUCCGUUGGUAGGUCUCCUAGCAACGACAGAUCUCAGAUUGCCAGAGAGGGAAACACCUGCGCCUCAUAAUAGCCGUUAAUAUAGGUCACUGCAGUGUCCUUUCUUUCUUUCUUUCUUUCUUUCUUUCUUUCUUUCUUUCUUUCUUUCUUUCUUUCUUUCUUUCUUUCUUUCUUUCUUUCUUUCAGCACGCAGCCCACAUGGCACCCUAUUCCCUUUAUAGUGGACUACUUUUGACCAGAGCCCGUAGUGCACCAUAUACUGUAUAUAUACACUAGAGACUAAAUGUAGGAACGUGAUCUAGCUCUGUCAUCAUCUACAGUAGUAGUGAGUGACUAAGAGAUUUGACUGAUAGUGGGAGUCAGAUGUGAGACAGCUCUAUUCUGGAAGAAAGAAAGAAAGAAGUCUGUCUGUCUGUCUGUCUGUCUGUCUGUCUGUCUGUCUGUCUUUGUGUCUGUCUGUGUGUGUUUGAACAUUGAGUCAGAGUUGAAUCAUUUCACACCACUUCAACUACAAGAAGGUCGGAAAAAGAACUAAAUGAAAAUGGAAGUUGUACAUAGUGGAACACUGAUGUCAUGGAAUGUACUCUGCACAUCUCUAACCGUUGCAGCAACACCUACAAGGACACCUUGAGAGCUAAUCAUGACAUGUUUUAAGAUGAUCGAGUGUCUCUGGAACCACAGAAAGCUGCAGGCAAUACUAUAACUACAGCAAUCACAACCUAGCUCACCGCUACUGUUACCUGUCAACAAUACAGUAUAGCACUUUGAAGGCUUGGUCAGAGGAAUGGAGACAUAACAAUACAGUAUAGCACCUUGAAGGC